UACGUAGGGUGCAAGCGUUGUCCGGAAUUAUUGGGCGUAAAGAGCUCGUAGGCGGUUUGUCGCGUCUGCUGUGAAAACUCGGGGCUUAACCCCGGGCCUGCAGUGGGUACGGGCAGACUAGAGUGCGGUAGGGGAGACUGGAAUUCCUGGUGUAGCGGUGAAAUGCGCAGAUAUCAGGAGGAACACCAGCGGCGAAGGCGGCGCUCUGGGCCGGAACUGACGCUGAGGAGCGAAAGCGUGGGGAGCAAACAGG
rnacentral:rRNA from 1 species